AACAGUCUUCCUUCCGUCCAUUUGAAGGGGCUUUACUAUUAGCCUAUGUGUAUGAGUGUUUUGUCUGCAUGUGUGUUUAUGUACUAUAUAUGACUGGUGCCUUGGGAGGGCCGAAGACAGUGUCAGAUCCCCUGGAACUGGAGUUACAGAUCAUGGUGUGAACUGCCCUAUGGGAGCUGGGAAUUAAACCAGGUCGUGCAGUUAAUUGUUGCUCCAUCUCUCCAGAAUCUCCCAGGCACCCUUAAGUAAUUAAGUUCUCCAGGUAAGGCACAAACAAUUUCAUUGUUCAAAAUCAUUGGAGGAACUAGGAUUUGAACUGGAGGAGUAUGGCUGGUAAAGAGCCAGAGAGGGGUAAGGGCCACACAACCACUGGCCCCAAGCUAAGCGCUGUUGGCUCCCUUCCAGCCCAGGAAAAGUAACACCUGACUGGAGGCGGAGCAGGGGUGGAGCCAGGGAGACCCAGGUGGCCUUUCUGACAGCCGGAGCACUGAGUGGCCUGGAGCAGCAUGAGGCAGAGCUGGAGACCAGAGCUGCUUAUUGUGGGAGCUGUGGUCGUGAUAGAGGGUCUUCAAGCAGCUCAGCGUGCAUGCGGGCAGCGUGGCCCUGGCCCUCCAGAGCCCCAGGAAGGCAACACAUUACCUGGUGAAUGGCCCUGGCAGGCCAGUGUGAGGCGACAGGGUGUACACAUCUGCAGUGGCUCCUUGGUGGCAGACACUUGGGUCCUCACAGCUGCUCACUGCUUUGAAAAGAUGGCCACAGCAGAACUGAGCUCCUGGUCCGUGGUCCUGGGUUCUCUCAAGCAGGAGGGGCAGAGCCCGGGGGCUGAGGAGGUGGGAGUUGCUGCCCUGCAGUUGCCCAAGGCCUAUAACCACUAUAGCCAGGGAUCAGAUCUGGCCCUGCUCCAGCUCACCCACCCCACCGUUCAGACAACCCUCUGCUUGCCCCAACCCACCUACCACUUCCCCUUUGGAGCUUCUUGCUGGGCCACUGGCUGGGACCAGAACACCAGUGAUGUUUCCAGAACCCUACGGAAUCUGCGCCUCCGUCUCAUCAGCCGCCCCACUUGUAACUGUCUCUACAAUCGGUUGCACCAGAGGUUGCUGUCCAACCCAGCAAGACCUGGGAUGCUCUGUGGGGGUGCACAGCCUGGGGAACAGGGGCCCUGCCAGGGAGAUUCUGGGGGACCUGUGAUGUGCCGUGAGCCUGAUGGACACUGGGUCCAGGUUGGAAUCAUUAGUUUCACAUCAAAAUGUGCCCAAGAGGACACCCCUGUGCUGUUGACUGACAUGGCAGUACACAGUUCAUGGCUGCAGGCCCAUGUUCACGAGGCAGCUUUCUUGGUGCAGGCCCCAGGAGUUGUGAAGAUGAGCGACGAGAACAGCUGUGUAGCAUGUGGCUCCUUGAGGAGUGCAGGACCCCAGGCAGGAGCGCUCUCUCAGUGGCCCUGGGAUGCCAGGCUGAAGCACCACGGGAAGCUGGCUUGUGGUGGAGCUCUGGUAUCGGAGGUGGUGGUGCUGACGGCUGCUCACUGCUUUAUCGGGCGCCAAACCCUAGAGGAAUGGAGCGUAGGACUGGGGGCUGGACCAGAGGAAUGGGGCCUGAAGCAACUCAUUCUGCACGGGGCCUACACCCACCCAGAAGGCGGCUAUGAUGUGGCCUUCCUGCUGCUGGCUCAGCCUGUGACAUUGGGCCCUGGCCUAAGGCCCCUCUGCUUGCCCUAUGCUGACCACCACCUGCCUGAUGGUGAACAUGGCUGGGUUCUUGGGCUGACCCAAAAAGCAGGCUCUGCCUUUACUUACAGGCAUCAACUACCCCCAGACAGUACCUGUGACAGUCCUGGGGCCGAUGGCCUGUAGCAGACAGCAUGCAGCUCCUGGGGGCACAGGCAUCCCCAUCCUGCCAGGGAUGGUAUGCACCACUGUCGUGGGUGAGCCCCCUCACUGUGAGGGCCUCUCUGGGGCGCCACUUGUACAUGAGAUCAGGGGCACAUGGUUCCUGGUUGGACUGCACAGCUUUGGAGACACCUGUCAAAGCUCUGCAAAGCCUGCAGUUUUUGCAGCACUCUCUGCCUACGAGGACUGGAUCAGCAAUCUAGACUGGCAGGUCUACUUCGCUGAGGAGCCAGAGCCUGAGGCUGAGACUGGAAGCUGCUUGGUCAACUCGAGCCAACCAGCCAGUUGUUGACUGGUGACUCUAGUUUACUCACAGGACGCCAGAAACGCCAGACAACUCCCACGUCAACACCCAGUUCUACACUCCUGCCCCUCCCCUCCCGGUCUUGUGGUUCCCAGCCCUGAGGCAGGUCCAACAGCUGGCUGGCUGGCUGAGAAUGAGCCUGCCCAGAGAUGCUUUUCAUGUGUGCCAUGGCCCCGCCCCCAAGUUCUGCUUUCCAACAGAGAUGUCUCCAGUAUUCCCUAGCCAAUCCUUCAGAUAUAACCACACCAGUAGCUGUUGUGAAAAAAAAAGUUGUUUUUUUUUUCCUUGGGGGUGGGGGGUUUGGGGAGCAAUUUCCUUUUUUAAAACUUAAAUUGUUACAAAAUAGAUUUUAGAAAAUAAGUUACAAACUAUAGUAAAAGGCUCCCCUGUCACAGGCA